UUUUUCCUACGGGGCGCAGCAGUGGGGAAUAUUGCACAAUGGGGGAAACCCUGAUGCAGCGACGCCGCGUGAGUGAAGAAGUAUUUCGGUAUGUAAAGCUCUGUCAGCAGGGAAGAAAAUGACGGUACCUGACCAAGAAGCCCCGGCUAACUACGUGCCAGCAGCCGCGGUACUACCUAGGGGGCAAGCGUUAUCCGGAUUUACUGGGUGUAAAGGGAGCGUAGACGGCAGGGCAAGUCUGGAGUGAAAGGCGGGGGCUCAA
rnacentral:rRNA from 1 species